AGAAGAAGCCCUGGAGAGAGGAGGUGGUUGGUUCCUGUCUCACUGGCCGGAACUUCAGCUUCGGUCAUUUCAUCUGGGUCCCUCAGCCCUUGGUGGGGAACACCCAGGCAGGUUAGAGAGGUUGGCAGGUUGUCAUGGCGACCAGCAAGGACCCAGAGGAGGAGCAGGUAGUCCCAAGUGAGGAGGACGAAGCCAACGUGAGGGCGGUGCAGGCCCACUACCUCCGGAGCCCCUCCCCUAGCCAGUGUUCGAUGGUCUCAGAUGCAGAAACUGAAAGCAUUUUCAUGGAACCCAUUCACCUCUCCUCAGCCAUUGCAGCCAAACAGAUCAUCAAUGAAGAACUCAAGCCACGGGGGGUCAGAGCAGACGCAGAGUGUCCAGGCAUGCUGGAGUCUGCUGAACAGCUGCUGGUGGAGGAUCUGUACAACCGCGUCAGGGAGAAGAUGGACGACACCAGCCUCUAUAAUACGCCCUGCGUCCUGGACCUACAGCGGGCUCUGGUUCAGGAUCGCCAAGAGGCUCCCUGGAAUGAGGUGGAUGAGGUCUGGCCCAAUGUCUUCGUAGCUGAGAAGAGUGUGGCUGUGAACAAGGGGAGGCUGAAGAGGCUGGGAAUCACCCACAUUCUGAAUGCUGCGCAUGGCACUGGCGUUUACACUGGCCCCGAAUUCUACACUGGCCUGGAGAUCCAGUACCUGGGUGUGGAGGUGGAUGAUUUUCCUGAGGUGGACAUUUCCCAGCAUUUCCGGAAGGCGGCUGAGUUCCUCGAUGAGGCGCUGCUCACUUACAGAGGGAAAGUCCUGGUCAGCAGCGAAAUGGGCAUCAGCCGGUCAGCAGUUCUAGUGGUCGCCUACCUGAUGAUCUUCCACAAUAUGGCCAUCCUGGAGGCGUUGAUGACUGUGCGUAAGAAGCGGGCCAUCUACCCCAACGACGGCUUCCUGAAGCAGCUGCGGGAGCUCAACGAGAAGCUGAUGGAGGAGAGAGAAGAGGACUACGGCAGGGAGGGGGAAGCAGCUGAGGCUGAGGAGGGCGAGGGCAUGGGGAGCACGCUCGGGGCCAGAGUGCACGCCCUGACGGUGGAGGAGGAGGACGACAGCGCCAGCCACCUGAGUGGCUCCUCCCUGGGGAAGGCCAGCCAGGCCUCCAAGCCCCUCACCCUCAUUGACAACGAGGAGGAGGAGAAACUGUACGAGGAGUGGAAGAAGGGGCAGGGCCUCCCCUCGGGCAAGGUCCCCCAGGGUGGAGGUGGCCGGCGCUCAGCCUCCUCUGGCCAGGGUGGGGAGCAGCUCGAGGACGAGGACGAGGACGAGGACGUGGAGAGAAUCAUCCAGGAGUGGCAGAGCCGAAACGAGAGGUACCAAGCAGAAGGGCACCGGAGGUGGGGAAGGGAGGAGGAAGAGGAGGAGGAGAGCGACGCUGGCUCCUCCGUAGGGAGGCGGCGGCGCACCCUGAGCGAGAGCAGUGCCUGGGAGAGCGUGAGCAGCCACGACAUCUGGGUCCUGAAGCAGCAGCUGGAGCUGAACCGGCCAGACCACAGCGGGAGGCGCCGCUCAGACUCGAUGUCCUCGGAUAGCACCUGGGACGCGUGGAACGAGAGGCUGCUGGAGAUUGAGAAGGAGGCUUCCCGGAGGUACCAUGCUAAGAGCAAGAGAGAGGAGGCGGCAGACAGGAGCUCAGAGGCAGGGAGCAGGGUGCGGGAGGAUGACGAGGAGAGCUUGGGCUCUGAGGCCAGCUCCUUCUACAAUUUCUGCAGCAGGAACAAGGACAAGCUCACUGCCCUGGAAAGAUGGAAGAUCAAGAGAAUCCAGUUUGGAUUUCACAAGAAAGACUUGGAAGCAGGAGACAGCAGCAGUGAGCCGGGUGCAGAGGAGGCAGUGGGGGAGAAGAAGAACCCCUCCGACAUCAGCCUGACAGCCUACCAGGCCUGGAAGCUGAAACACCAGAAGAAGGUGGGCAGUGAGAACAGGGAGGAGGUGGUGGAGCUCAGCAAGGGGGAGGACUCGGCCUUGGCUAAGAAGAGGCAACGGAGGCUGGAGCUGCUGGAGAGAAGCCGGCAGACGCUGGAGGAGAGCCAGUCUAUGGCAAGCUGGGAGGCGGACAGCUCCACGGCCAGCAGGAGCAUUCCCCUGUCUGCGUUCUGGUCUGCAGCCCCCUCAGUCAGUGCUGAUGGGGACACGGCAUCAGUACUGAGCACCCAGAGCCACCGCUCCCACCUGUCUCAGGCUGCAAGCAACAUAGCGGGGUGUUCAACCUCCAAUCCCAUCACACCCCUGCCUAACCUGCCAGUGGGGCCUGGAGACACCAUUUCCAUUGCCAGUAUCCAGAACUGGAUUGCCAAUGUAGUCAGCGAGACCCUUGCUCAGAAGCAAAAUGAAAUGCUGCUGUUGUCCCGCUCCCCGUCUGUUGCAAGCAUGAAGGCAGUACCAGCGGCCAGUUGCCUGGGGGAUGACCAAGUCUCCAUGCUCAGUGGACAGAGCAGCUCCUCCUUGGGUGGCUGCCUGUUGCCUCAGAGCCAGGCAAGACUCAGCUCUGACAUGCAGUCUGUGCUGUCCUGCAACACCACACUGAGCUCGCCCCCUGAAAGUUCCAGGAGCAAAGUGAGGGGGACCAGCAAGCCCAUCUACAGCCUCUUUGCUGACAAUGUGGACCUAAAGGAACUUGGCCGGAAGGAAAAGGAGAUGCAGAUGGAGCUUAGGGAGAAGAUGUCUGAGUACAAAAUGGAAAAGCUGGCCUCAGACAACAAACGCAGCUCCCUCUUCAAGAAGAAGAAGGUCAAGGAAGAUGAGGAUGAUGGUGUGGGUGAUGGGGAUGAGGACACUGACAGCGCCAUAGGGAGCUUCCGGUAUUCUUCCCGCAGUAGUUCCCAGAAACCUGAAACAGACACAUCCUCCUCCCUGGCUGUCUGUGAUCACUACGCAAGUGGCAGCAGAGUUGGCAAAGAGAUGGAUAGCAGUAUUAAUAAGUGGCUCAGUGGCCUCAGGACAGAGGAAAAACCUCCUUUCCAAAGUGACUGGUCUGGAAGUUCCAGGGGGAAGUACACCAGAUCAUCCCUGCUCAGGGAGACAGAGUCUAAAUCCUCCAGUUACAAGUUUUCCAAAUCCCAGUCAGAGGAACAGGACACCUCCUCCUACCACGAGGCAAAUGGCAACUCUAUAAGAAGCACUUCACGGUUCUCGUCUUCCUCCACCAGGGAGGGCAGAGAGAUGCACAAGUUCUCCAGGUCCACGUACAGCGAGACCUCAAGUUCCCGAGAGGAGGGCAGCCCAGAGCCCUACUUCUUUCGCCGGACCCCAGAGCCCUCAGAAAGGGAAGAGUCCCCAGAGUCACAGCAACCAAAUUGGGCCAGGUCCAGAGACUGGGAAGAUGUGGAAGAGUCAUCCAAGUCAGACUUCUCUGAAUUUGGAGCCAAGAGGAAAUUCACCCAGAGCUUUAUGAGGUCUGAAGAAGAGGGAGAGAAAGAGAGGACGGAAAACAGAGAAGAAGGGAGGUUUGCAUCUGGACGGCAGUCCCAGUAUCGAAGAAGCACUGACAGAGAGGAAGAGGAAGAAAUGGACGAUGAAGCCAUCAUUGCUGCUUGGAGACGUCGGCAAGAAGAAACCAGGACCAAGCUGCAGAGAAGGAGGGAGGACUGAGCUGGGGAAAAGCUGAGAACACUGAAAUAAACCACUCACCUUAGUAUAGGGCUCAGGGCACACAUUGCCACCACCCAUCAGGGGAUGAGGAUACAGAGAGGAUCUUCCAGAGGGGCAGAGCCAGAAUGAGAGGUACCAAGCAUAAGGGCAGCAAAGGUGGAGUAGGGAGGAGGCAAGGACGGGGAGAACCAUCAAUAUGAGGUCCGAAUGCUGGACCAACUGACACCAUUUUCUGUUGCCCAGCACCCUCUAAGCUUUGGUGUUUCACUUAGUGUAUUUGAUAGUGUUCAUCACAGACUAGAGAGGUGAGCUUGGAAAAGCACUGUAGUUUGUCAGAGACUCCAGUUUACAUCCAGAAAGGCCAUGAACAUAGGACACGCUUCUGUCUGUAGAGGUUUCACAUGAAACCCAGAAAGUCUAUCCUAUGGCAAGUCUGACCUCUCCUGGCAAUGCUCAGUUCUGAUUUUUUUUUUUUUUUAAUGUUUUGAGUCUCCAAUAAAAAUGGUAUAUUGGCAAAUAGUUCUUUAUUCUGGUCAUAUUUAGCUCUUUGUAUAUUAGAAGAAAACCACUUUAAAAGACACAAAUGUGUUAUCCUGAGCCAGUCUCACCUUGUUUCACAAAAGCUGGGCCUCCAGACAAUGCCAUCAUCAUCUCAUUAUAAAAAAUAACAAACAAUUAUUUAGCCUAUGGUACAAUACAGUAGGAGACUACACUAGGAAAACCCUUGAGAGUAACAGAGGGAACUAGAGAAAGAGAGAAUUAGUUUUAUUGUGGCGAGAAUAGCAAGAUGUAAAGUAGAGAGAAGGCCUCUCUGGAAGGCAGAAAAACAAAAACAGCAUGGGGAGAGAAGAAAAUAAACCCAGUACAAGGAAAUUAAGACAUGUUUUUAUAAAAUCUAGUAAUCACCUUUGCUUCUUAUUCCUAGGAGGAUCACUGGGUAAUGCAGUGGAUAGUACACUUGAUUCUUCCCUGUGCUCUCAGUGGGCUAAAUUGGUGAGAAUCUUUUACCUUUUGUUCCCAAGGCAUGUCUUUCCCUAAAACACAGGUUGAGUUGCCAAAUCAGGGAGACACUUUGAACACUUUACAACAGUGAUUGAUGGACUGGUUUCUACAGUUCUUUUCAAGCUGCGGCACCUUGAAGGAUUUGAAAACAACUGUGUGCUAUGCAGGGGUCUGAGAUGUCUUGAUCAAUCAAAAAAUCCAAUUCAGGAGACACAAAUGGUGAUGAAAUGAUUAAAGAGAGGGAAGAAGAGUAAGGAGUAAUCCACCAAUGAGAUAAAUAAAAAUAAAAAGAGGAACUGAUCUGAAUUACUCGAGCCCACUCCCGAGUCUCAUAAACAGUUCACUAGGAGAAAGCUCCCACAUUAUUCAGCACAGAGAAUCGUGCACUGAAAGGGGCCCUACAAGAUGAAAAUCCUGCUCAGACUCCUGAGGUGAGGGCUGGGUAAAAGAGAGGCAGAGAGAAGGAAAACAGAUUUUUUUCUUCAUCCAAAGGUAAGGCCCUGGAGGAAAUGAGAUCUGUGGGGGCUGUGAAGAAAUAAGAAAUAAAGUGUAUCAGGCAGCAUCCCAGCAGGAAACAGAAGGCAUGGCCAAAUUAGGGUGAUUCAAACGGGUCGUUUUCUAAAGAAGCUAUUCACAAAGGAGUGGACAUGGUACAGGGUACAGGAAAACACCAGGCACAGUUCACAGUCCAAAGCCAGGGGCCUCUCCUAGGCCUGGAGAGACAAGGGAGGAGCUGUUACUGGGCCCCUAGAGACACCGAGGGCUACGUGGAGGGGCUGUCUUAAGAUCUAAGACCUUGGGUCUAGAGAGCCAGCCUGAUGUGACCCCACAGGAAAGGAAGCAGAGGACUUUAGCCCCUCUUACUCCGACCUCCAUCAACCUCCCCACAGGCCAAACCCAACCAAAACCCAUAGGGAAGAGAGUUGGUGUGUGCAGUCCAUUCUGUCAGCCCCAUGGGACCCCAGGGAGAGUGGGGAGAAGGGUGGAUGUAUCCAAAAGGGCAAACAGAAGAUAUACAACAAGGGCAAAAUUUCAGGCUGGUGACAUAUUGUUGGUGCUGUGUUAUGAAGACCCUGCUUUUAGUGUCUUGAAUAUUGCCAGAAGAGGAAAUAUUGGUUUUUCUGGACUUUUAAAACUUAUUUCUUGUGUUGUUUGGGAGAAUUAUCAACCAAUGACAGUUGAAUAACUAGUAACCUGCCUUAAAGCAUGCUACAUAGAAUUGCCCUUGUGUGAAGAAUCUGGAAUAAAAAUCUACACUGUUCUUAGGCACACUA